GAUGAACGCUGGCGGCGUGCCUAAUACAUGCAAGUCGAACGAAACUUCUUUAUCACCGAGUGCUUGCACUCACCGAUAAAGGGUUUAGUGCCGAACGGGUGAGUAACACGUGGGCAACCUGCCCAAAAGAGGGGGAUAACACUUGGAAACAGGUGCUAAUACCGCAUAACCAUAGUUACCUCAUGGUAACUAUGUAAAAGGUGGCUAUACUACCUCUUUUGGAUGGGCCCGCGGGGCAUUAGGUAGUUGGGAGGGUAAAAGGUUAACAAGGCGAUGGUCCGUUGGCCGAAUGGGAGGGUGAACGGCCCAAAUGGGACCGGAAAAAGGGCCAAAACCCUAAGGGAGGGAGGAGUGGGGAAUUUUGGACAAUGGGGGAAAGCCUGAAGGAGCCAAGCCGCGUGGGGGAUGAAGGGUCUUGGGUUGUAAAAACCCUUUGUUCGGAAAGAAAAGCCGGUGUCAGAAAAAGAGGGGUUUUGAAGGUAACGUAAGAAGAAGCCCCGGCUAACUACGUG
rnacentral:rRNA from 1 species